CGCCUCCCUCCGCCGCCACUCAGACUCCGUACGGGACGGCGAGCGAGGUGGGAAGUCGUUGCACAUGGACGAAAGUCUGAUGCAGCAACGCCGCGUGGGGAGUGAAGCUUCUCGGAGUGUAACCCUUUCGACCCGGAAGAAUGCCGCAAGGGUUUGACGGUACGGGUAUAAGAAGCCCGGCUAACUACGUGCCAGCAGCCGCGGUAAUUC
rnacentral:rRNA from 1 species